UACAGGGGGGGCAAGCGUUGUUCGGAAUUACUGGGCGUAAAGGGCCAGUAGGCGGCCAACUAAGUCCGACGUGAAAUCCCCAGCUUAACCUGGGAACUGCGUCGGAUACUGGAUGGCUUGAAUUCGGGAGAGGGAUGCAGAAUUCCAGGUGUAGCGGUGAAAUGCGUAGAUAUCUGGAGGAAUACCGGUGGCGAAGGCGGCAUCCUGGACCGACAUUGACGCUGAACGGCGAAAGCUAGGGGAGCGAAACAGGG
rnacentral:rRNA from 1 species